GCUAAACUUAUUUUUCCUAUUAAGGAUGAGAUCAUUUUUGUACGUCAUGCUGUCGGUUACUUUGUUGAGUGGCCAUCUCAUCUGAUCAUUCCAUACGAUUCAAAUUUGCUACCUAAGAAGACAAAGAAGCAAAAAAGAAAUAGUUCACCAAUACCUAAUGCCCCAAUGACACAAGACAAGUCUCAUCCUUCCUAGUCAAAAUGAAGUAGUGUCAAGUAAAGCUAGUGCCCCGAUACUCUUCAAGAUUCCUAGUGGGGUUCCUCACUCUCUCAAGUGUUUAUUAACUACUGUGAAGUAUGUGGAGCCAAGUUUCAUGGUCAAAGUUCCGAUGAAUUUCGAGAUAUUAGGUCAUGAGAAUGAUUUAUAUAUCUCACAAGAAGAUAUAGUCCACUUUGGCUUAAUGGAGGAGAUUGAAGCAUCAUGUAUAUCGUUAUAUAUCAGGAUUUUAUACUUCCAAUUAGUGAAAAGAGAGAUCAGUCACUUUUUUCGUUUUGUUGAGCCAAUUUGGUUAUCAAAUGUUGGAUCCACUGAAGAAGAACGAGUUGAAUGGGUAUCAAAGCGUAUGAUUGAUUCAAAUCCAGGUCAAAUGUGGUUGUUGCCAUAUCA